rnacentral:lncRNA from 1 species
AUGGCGGUGCUGUAGCCCUGGGCAGAUGGACCCAGUGGCUCCUUCCCUAGUGCGGUGUCCGGCAUGCAGCAGAUGCUGGAGAGAUGGACUUCAGGAUGGCACUAUGCCAGCCACAAUGGGCACUAUGCUGUGUGCCAGUUCCUACUGCUAAGUGGAGCUAAGUGUGAUGCCCAGACCCAUGGGGGUGCCACUGCUCUGCAGCAGGACUGCUACUGAGGGCACACUGACAUUGCAUGGCCUCUGUUUUCACAUGGGUCCAAGCCCAGAUUGAUAGAUGACGAUGGCAAUGACCAGCCUACAUAAGGCUCCUGAGAACGGUCACGUGGACAUUUGCUCCCUCCUGUUGCAACAUAGCUUAGCCCUGAAGGCCAUCUGGGAUGGAAGGCAUGGCUAGCAUGUGACCUGCUGCCCUGCAACGGUGACCUG